GAACAGAAGAUGCUGCUAUUUUGGGAUCAUUACCUGCCCAGAGUAAGGAAAUGGUAGCGUUCUCGGAGUGGGGUGCAACCGGGACAGUGAGACACAGCCUCCAGGGAUUCCGAGCUUGUAAGCUGCUUUCGCAUUCACUGCAGCACCCCUGGCGGGUGGCAGCCCUGGAAUGGGCGCUCAGCAAGUACUAACGAAUUAAACUAGAUUGAAAAUUCCUGGCAAUCAAAUAAGAGCCAAGGAUCUCUCACGAAAGGAAGUGUUGAGAUGGAGCAAAAGGUAAACAAGUGCAUCGAGACCACUGGGUGGGGUUUGACCGCUCAGCUGGGGAUAUGUAGGGAACGAGGGACCGUUUCCUUGGGACGCCUGUCUGUGUGUGACCGUCUGCACACCACUGCCCUCAGCUGGACGCGGAGCCGAAGCUGCCCCAGCUCCACGUGGGCAUCGGGACUCCCUCAGGUUUCCUUCCCUCCCGAUCUGGGACAGGCCUCCUGGGCAAACCGGUUUCUUGGUUGGCUUCUCUUACCUGGUUUUUUUUUUUUUUUUUUUUACCCUGCC